CGUCGAUGAAGAGUGCAGCUAACUGUGUGAAUUAAUGUGAACUGCAUACUGCUUUGAACAUCGACAUCUUGAACGCAUAUUGCGGCUACGAGUUAGCUCGUGGCCACGUUUGUUCGAGGGUUG
rnacentral:rRNA from 3 species